GAUUUCGAGUUGCUUAACAUAAGUCUGCAUAAAUUUAAGUUGAAUUGCAUUUAUUAAUAAGAUAGAUAAUGGGUGUUAUUUAUACCACAGGAGUAUUCAUUUUCUGCAUAAGUAUUUGGGCGGUCAUACAGUUGACAUUAAUGGCAUUUUUCUAUAGCAUAGAAGCGUCAACUCUACUUGGAGACGUUUCUGUAGUGGAUACUAAUAGCAGUUAUAACUUUGUGUAUGAAGUACCUAAGAGAUAAUUACCAAAUAGUGUCACACAACUGUUACUACGCUGCCUAUGCCUACGUGGUCAUCAAUGUGAUAUCUUGGUUCGUAAUCUUCAAAGGAAAAAUUUUGGAUAAAAUGGAAGCGAAAAAGCAGC